CCUACGGGUGGCUGCAGUGAGGAAUAUUGGUCAAUGGGCGCGAGCCUGAACCAGCCAAGUAGCGUGAAGGAUGACUGCCCUACGGGUUGUAAACUUCUUUUAUAAAGGAAUAAAGUGAGGCACGUGUGCCUUUUUGUAUGUACUUUAUGAAUAAGGAUCGGCUAACUCCGUGCCAGCAGCCGCGGUAAUACGGAGGAUCCGAGCGUUAUCCGGAUUUAUUGGGUUUAAAGGGAGCGUAGAUGGGUUGUUAAGUCAGUUGUGAAAUUUUGCGGCUCAACCCUAAAAUUGCAAUUGAUACUGGCAGUCUUGAGUACAGUCGAGGUAGGCGGAAUUCGUGGUGUAGCGGUGAAAUGCUUAGAUAUCACGUAGAACUCCGAUAGCGAAGGCAGCUUACCAGACUGCGUCUGACAUUGAUGCUCGAAAGUGUGGGUAUCAAACAGGAUUAGAUACCCUUGUAGUC
rnacentral:rRNA from 1 species